GAGCCCCGCCCCCGGCGCACGCGGCGCGAGCGCAGCCGGCUUCCGGCUCCGGGAGCCGCCGGGCCAUGGCGGAGCUCUCGGCCGACGUGCGCACCUUCCUGCGCGAGCACCCGAGCCUGCGGCUGGAGCCCGGCGCCCACAAGGUGAAGUGCGCGCUCACCGGCCACGAGCUGCCCUGCCGCCUGCCCGCGCUCCAGCUCUACACCCGCGGCAAGAAGUACCGGCGGCUGGUCCGCGCCGCCCCGGCCUUCGACUACGCGGAGCUCGAGCCGCACAUCGUGCCCAGCACCAAGAACCCGCACCAGCUGUUCUGCAGGCUCACCCUGCGGCACAUCAACAAGUGCCCAGAGCACGUACUGAGGCACACCCGGGGACGCCGGUACCAGAGAGCUCUGCGAGAAUAUGAAAAGUGUCAGAAGCAGGGUGUGGAGUUCGUGCCCGCCUGCCUCUUGCACAAGAGGAGGAGGAGAGAAGACCAGACAGACGGCGCCGGGCCACGUCGUCCGAGAGAGGCCUUCUGGGAACCGGUGUCUAGCGACGACAGCGCAGCCGCGGGGGACAGUGACGACAGCAUGACAGACCUGUACCCACGUCCUGGGCCCUGGCUGGCCACUCCCGCCUCAGCCCUGCGCGGUGAACCUCACCUGAAACAGCCCCUCCCCAUUCCUUCCAGCCGAGCUGUUCACCAGAAAGGACCUGGCAGGGACGGAGCCUGGGGACAGCACUGAGGACUUUCUGACCGAAGAGGAGGGCGAGGAGCCGAGGGGCGCCUCAGGGAUGGGCCCCGGGGACGGAGAAGAGCCGCCACUGGCCCAGGCGCUGGUCCGCAAGCGGAGGAAGAAGCAGUUGAGCUCAUCGAAGAAGAAGUCUAGGAGUCAUCAUUGUAAAGCUAAAAGCUUCAGCUCUUUUAAACAGUCCUGUUCCUAAAAGGCCACAGACAGCGCGUGUCGAGCACCGACGAGAACUCCUCAGCCACCGGCCCCGCGCUCCUCUUCCAACCGCCCACGGUGUGUCCUCUCAGCCCCCGAGGUGCCCCAGGGCCUUCUCCCUCCACGGGGGCUGGGGUCAGUCCCCCCGGCGUCAGGCGCACGCUCCCCACCCCCAGGGAGCAGCAGGGACCCCGAGGGAAGAGCUCGGCCCAGACGUGGCUUCUCAGUGCUCCUCAGCGAAGCCUAGAGGGUCUGUCGCGCUCACUCGGCGUCCAGGGAGAGGCCUGGACAGGCCCCACGCCGGCGGGACAACACCAGAGGAUCACACCGCAUACAACAAAUGCCAUUAUUUAUUUUGAUGUUUCCAAAAAUCAAAACGUUUUCAAACACAACUAAGAUAUAAAAUACAGCAUAAAAUGAGAUCUAUACCUAUUUCCCACAUAAAGCAAAAAAUUUUUCAGAAAUUGUUUUGUCAAAGCCAA